ensembl:lncRNA
UCUUGUUUUUCUGCUGUUUAUUUCCUUUAUUAAGUUGUAUACAUGUAAUAGAAAUAACACAAAAUGUUAGGCAACCACUGUUAUACAAAAACAAACAUACAAACAAUAAAUAAAUAAACUUAAUUUUAGAAUAAUUUUUCUACAUUUUUAAUUAUAGAACAGUUUUCAGCAAUGGUUGAUGUAGUAGCAGUCAGAAGAGUUUUUCUGUGAACAAGUCUGAGAGUCCAUAGGAAUGAGCACGGGAAUGAAUCAGGCUACAAUCUGGAUGCAAAGGAUGCAUCCCAUCUCCCCUGGGCAUUCUCACGGUGCAAGAAUGUGUCCCCUGUACACACACACACACACACACACAUUCAGUGAUUCUAUCUCUUUUCCCACAGCCAGGCCCGAGAACACCAUACACUUGGAUACACACACAUGUUAUCUACCAGGCUUGACUUGCAGGAAUCCAAUUGUGUGCAACAGGCAGCAGAAGGUGCCCCAGUUCUUUUACAUUCUUCUUUUCUUCUUUGCAUUGUUUCAGGGGGCUACAGUAACAAAGGGAGAACGGGUGAACAUUGUGUGUGUGGUAUGUUCACACCAUCGUCCUCUAGUGCCCGUACAUGUGCUGCUGAGGGGGGUUUAAGGAGAAAGUUGAAUGAAGAGAAAGAGACACUCAUGAACAGAAUUAGUAGAGCACAUUCCUCUGCUUUCUCCAGCUCUCUUUAUUCUUUCUUGCCAUGCCUCCCACCCCUUCAUGAGAAAAUCAAACAGGUGGUUUGGCUCUGUUGGAGGGGCUGUGUCUUGCGGAGGUGGGCUGUCCCACAGCCUGUAGCGUCUCCUCUCAGCUCCAGCUUGAGUCCAGUGUCCAGUUAAAGAGAGCCACUCUCAUUACCAUCUCAAUUCUGGGAACGGGCUAGAGACCUCAGCUGCACCCUAACAUGCAGCCCAUAUGGUGCUUGCUUGGCAACCAGGGAGGAGGGGACCGCCGUAUCCCCCCCAACACAUUCACAAACACACACACACAUACACAUUUAUAUUCACAAGACACGUGAAGACCUAAAUGACACAACUUACCUAUAUACACACACUCAAGCUCACAACUGUGUACGAAGACACAAAACUGGGCCACGCAAUUAUCUUAAUGCAUAUACACCACCUGUUGCACCAGUCUUUAGAUUGGGCAUCAAAGCUAAACAGACCGUUAAAGAGAGCCUGGGGCUCCCGCGCACAUUUCCUGGGAGAGCUGGACCACACAGCGCCAGUAUGGAAGGACGGACACUCAGCUUCAUACACCCUUAUAGUGUGUUUUCGGAGGCCAUUUCACCAUAAAUGGCUUCAGUGGUUACAGACCUCAUUGGUUAAAAUUAACAUGCACCACUUGGUUUAUGACAAGGAAAGAUUCCCCAAUUUUUUCCCCAAAUUUAGGUUUAUUAAUAUAAAGCAUAGUGAAACUAGUUAAUAAUAAUAAAAUAUUAUAUUCAAUAAUAUAUUGAUAAUAA